rnacentral:rRNA from 1 species
UACGUAGGUGGCAAGCGUUUGUCCGGAUUUAUUGGGUUUAAAGGGUGCGUAGGCGGCCUUGUAAGUCAGUGGUGAAAUACUCUAGCUUAACUAGAGGGGUGCCAAUGAUACUGCAGGGCUUGAGUACAGAUGAGGUAGGCGGAAUUGACGGUGUAGCGGUGAAAUGCAUAGAUAUCGAUCAAGAACACCUAUAGCGAAGGCAGCUUACUGGGCUGUAACUACGCUGAGGCACGAAAGUGUGGGGAUCAAACAGG